rnacentral:rRNA from 1 species
UACGUAGGGGGCAAGCGUUGUCCGGAUUCAUUGGGCGUAAAGAGCGUGUAGGCGGCCAGGUAGGUCGGUUGUGAAAACUGGAGGCUCAACCUUCAGAGGUCGACCGAAACCAUCUGGCUAGAGUCCGGGAGAGGAGAGUGGAAUUCCUGGUGUAGCGGUGGAAUGCGCAGAUAUCAGGAAGAACACCCGUGGCGAAGGCGGCUCUCUGGUACGUGACUGACGCUGAGACGCGAAAGCGUGGGGAGCGAACAGG